AAUAAUGCCCGUUUUCACCAACAACCUCUUAGCGUUUCCCUAUCUAAAAGCUACUUUUAAUAAGGACCCCUCCCAAUUUGACACCUACCUAAAUUCAUUUUCACCACACUUGUACAUGGAUCCCUUAAGUAAGUGACAGAUUACUAGUUCUACAAACGAUAAUGCAAAGUCGAUAUUUUAUCGAUAAAAUGAUUUUUCUGUACUUCUUAAGAAAUAAACGUCUAUCGAGUAUAUAUUACUAAAGCCUAAGAAAAAGACAAGCUAGUGAAAUUGCUGACGUCUCAUAGAGACACAAUAUUAAACAAAAAACGGAUGGGACCACGAACGAAGCCAAAAACAAAGCUUGGAUCCAGUUACAAAUAGUUUUAAUGCGAUACGAACCGUUUACAGGUAAAUGUGAAUAAUAUCUGUGUAUAAUAAUAUAAGAUAUUGCCGUUCAACUGUGUUCCUUGUUUUACUGUCGACUUCAUUGUAUUUUUGUUCUCCAUGAGUUGAUGGAUUUAAGUAUGGGGUUAAAAUUAUACAUUUAUUAUAUUUAUUUAGUUUCAGGUGGUGCGAGAAAUUGGAAAGACGUGUAAAAACAUGCUGCGCCCAGCCCACCUCAAAUUGAAUUGGUGCAGGAGGAUGAUGAUAAUGUUUGGUACAUCAUAUGAGGACUAAUAUUAAAAUAUUUGUUUAC